rnacentral:tRNA from 1 species
ACUGUUAUAGCUUAAUAAAGAGCAUAGCACUGAAAAUGCUAAAGUAGAUUUUAUCUUAACAGUA